AAUAUUCUUACUAAAAGUUAUUGAAAAGUUAAAUCCUAUAAGCUAAGUUAUUUCUCUCAAAAUGUUCUAUUUUCACUUAUGAUUACAUUAGUUAAAGACAAAUUUGUUAAUUUUCCUUUUGUUGAAUAAAUGUUAAACAUCUUAUCGUUUGAUUUGACACGUGACACGAUCUUAAGAGUUAGUAACUUGUAAACAUCUGAUCGUUUGACUUGACACGUGGCACGAUCUUAAGAGUUAGUAACUUUAAAAACCAUACUUUAUAUAAUAAGAUAUAUAUAU
rnacentral:sRNA from 1 species